rnacentral:lncRNA from 1 species
GGCCCGGUUGGGCCCGGUUCGGCCCGGUUCGGUUCCGCCCACCUUGUUCUUGACCUCGGCCGACAGCCCGUAGGCCGGCCCGCGGUUGAAGUUGGCGUUGGACAUGGCCUCGGUUUGCCCGGUUCGGCCCGGUUUAAGCCCGGUUCUGUCCCGGUUCGGCCCGGUUUAAGCCCGGUUCGGUGCCGGUUUAGCCCGGUUUAAGCCCGGUUCAGCCCCGGUUCGGUCCGGUUUAAGCCCGGUUCGGUGCCGGUUUCGGUCUGGGCUGUCCCGGUUUGGCCCGGUUCGGUUCGCUUCGGGUCUGCUUCGGUCCCGGUCGGGCUCGCUUCGAUUCGGAUCGGCUCCGCUUUGGCCCGGUUCGCUCCGGUUCGGCUCCGGUUCGGCCCCGGCUCGGUUCGGCCCGGUUCGGCCCCGCUCGGCUCGGCUCGGCUCGGUUCGCCCCGGUCCCGGUCCCGGUCCCGGUCCCGGCGCCGCCGCCGCCACUUUUAAAAGUCGGUGGCGGGCGCGGGGCCCCCCCCGGCGCGGGGCCGGGCCAGCCAAUGGGCGCCUCCCGCCGCGCUGACGUCACCGCGGGGGGGGGUGAUGGCGUCAUUUUUUCCACAUUUAGCGGGGGGAUCCCGGGGGGGGGGGGGGGGUCGGGGUCUCCCCCCCCACGCCCCCUCCCACCCCCCACCUCCCCCCGUCUGUCUGUCUGUCCACCCGUCUGUCCGUGCCCGGCCGCCCCCCCCGGGCAUCGCCCUGGCCCCCCGUCCGUCCGCCCCCCUGUCCUGGCCGUCUGUCCGUCCGUCCUCCUGUCCGUCCCUCUGUCCGUCUGUCCCUCUGUCCAUCCCCCUGGCCUGUCCGUCUGUCCGUCCCCUUGUCCUGUCCAUCCUCCUGUCCGUCCAUCCCUCUGUCCGUCUGUCCUUCUGUCCAUCCUCCUGUCCUGUCUGUCCGUCCAUCCCUCCCCCUGCCCUGUCCAUGUCUGUCCGUCCCUCUGUCUGUCCGUCUGUCUGUCCCUGUGUCCGUCCCUCUGUCCCCCUGUCUGUCCCUCUGUCCGUCCGUCCCUCUCCAUCCCCU